rnacentral:misc_RNA from 1 species
AUUCUAAAAGGAGAGCACCUCUCUCGUCAAGGCGCCAGAUGAGGCAAAGCACGCCUCUUUCAAAGUAAGAGGUUUUUCUUUUUUUUUUUAGGAUGGUUUCUCUCAUCUCCUCUCCUCUUCUCUCCUUUUCUUUUAUUUCUCCUUGAAAAAUUCUAAUAAGAUGGAGUUAAUUAAUAUUUCUUUAAAUUUUAUUUCCUUUAUAUUUCUCUUAUAUUACAUAUAGU